UGCCAGCAGCCGCGGUAAUACGUAGGGUGCGAGCGUUAAUCGGAAUUACUGGGCGUAAAGCGCGCGUAGGUGGUUUGUAAGUCAGAGGUGAAAUCCUGCGGCCCAACCGUAGAACUGCCUUUGAAACUACAAACCUUGAGUUUGGAAGAGAGAGAUGGAAUUCCAGGUGUAGCGGUGAAAUGCGUAGAUAUGUGGAGGAAUACCAGUGGCGAAGGCGGCCUCCUGGCUCGAUACUGACGCUGAGGUGCGAAAGCGUGGGGAGCAAACAGGAUUAGAUA
rnacentral:rRNA from 1 species